rnacentral:rRNA from 1 species
UGGAGGCAAAACUAUAAAAAGCGAUCUCAGUUCGGACUGCAGGCUGCAACUCGCCUGCACGAAGUUGGAAUUGCUAGUAAUCGUGGAUCAGCAUGCCACGGUGAAUACGUUCCCGGGUCUUGUACACACCGCCCGUCACACCAUGGGAGCCGGUAAUACCCGAAGUCAGUAGUCUAACCGCAAGGAGGACGCUGCCGAAGGUAGGAUUGGCGACUGGGGUGAAGUCGUAACAAGGUAUC